rnacentral:rRNA from 1 species
UUGAAGAGUUUGAUCCUGGCUCAGAUUGAACGCUGGCGGCAUGGCUAAAACAUGCAAGUCGAACGACCCCUGCGGGGGGAGUGGCGAAAGGGCGAGGAAUACGAUCGUACGUACCCCGAGGUGGGGGAUAGCGUUGGGAAACCGGCGGUAAUACCCCAUGUCCUCUACGGAGAAAAGGUUUACCGCCUUGGGAGCGGCGAUCGUCCUAUCAGGUUGUUGGUGAGGUAAAGGCUCACCAAGCCGAAGACGGGUAGCGGGUGUGAGAGCAUGACCCGCCGCAUCGGGACUGAGACACUGCCCGGACUCCUACGGGAGGCUGCAGUAACGAAUCUUCCGCAAUGGACGAAAGUCUGACGGAGCGACGCCGCGUGGAGGACGAAGGCCUUCGGGUUGUAAACUCCUGUCACGAGUUAAGAAGUGUAUGCCAUUAAUACCGGCAUGCAUUGACGAAGGCUCGAGAGGAAGCACUGGCUAACUCUGUGCCAGCAGCCGCGGUAAUACAGAGAGUGCGAACGUUGUUCGGAAUUACUGGGCUUAAAGCGUACGUAGGCGGCGUAACAAGUGUCGGGUGAAAGCCCACGGCUCACCCGUGGAAUUGCCUGGCAAACUGUUAUGCUAGAGUGUGGUAGGGGAGAACAGAACUCAUGGUGGAGCGGUGAAAUGCGUAGAUAUCAUGAGGAAUACCGGUGGCGAAGGCGGUUCUCUGGUCCACAACUGACGCUGAGGUACGAAAGCUAGGGUAGCGAACGGGAUUAGAUACCCCGGUAGUCCUAGCCGUAAACGAUGGGUACUAGCUUGGGGGAUCCCUGUGUUCUUCCAGGUGAAGCAAAAGUGAUAAGUACCCCGCCUGGGGAGUAUGGUCGCAAGGCUGAAACUCAAAGGAAUUGACGGGGGCUCACACAAGCGGUGGAGCAUGUUGCUUAAUUCGAGGCAACGCGAAGAACCUUACCUGG